rnacentral:lncRNA from 1 species
CUUGUGAGAGUAUCCUUCUAUGAGACUCGAUUGUUUUAUGUUGUUUGCCAAUAGCUUUAGUACUCGUUUGAUGUGAUAACUCAAUCGAGAUCUGUGUUGCCCGCAGAAAGGGACGGAGAUGGCAUGGAUCGUCUUCUCAUAUCCGGCGACUGGAACAGUGCGAAUAUUGCAUCUUUCUCACUCGGGCGGUCACCAACCAGCAUCCGUUUAUCAUCAUCGCCUGGGAAGCACCAGAAGGCAGCAGACGGAGAUGUCUUCAGCACAAUUAGGACAAGAGAAACGGAAUCCACUGUAAAAGUAGGACGAAGGGCAUGAACAGAAGAAAAAGAGUGCGUCUUUCCACGGAUCUUUUCCUCUCUUCUUGGAAGUAAUGAUAUAUCAAUGGGAAUCUUGCUUCUUUGGGCAUUGAUUAUUAACCAUAUAGAUAUUGUUUCUCCACUUUCUUUGGUUUUCUUUCUGGACCUGUCACUGUUGUUUUCCUAUGUGUAAAAGUAAAACACUCCUUUGUCGUCUCUCUCUCUCUCUCUCUCUCUCUCUCUCUCUGUCUAUCUGUCAUCUAUGAAGGAAUGAUAGGAUAGCACUUUGAAUUAUCCUGUCAGUGUGCUAUCUGCGCGCAUGUAAAGGAUGGAAUCUUUAUCUGUUGGGAAACUUUAUGCUACAAUGUCCUGCUGAUUCCUAUUGUCACAAUGAGAUGACAAAGUGUUUCCUGCAGAAAUAUGCCUCUAUCGGGAAAUGGUAAGGAUAAAGAAAACCUAAAUGCAAGUCUUCUUCAUCAUCACUUGGAG